rnacentral:tRNA from 1 species
UGUAUGGUAGCUCAGUAGUAGAGCACAUGCCUAGCAUGCAUGAGCCCCUGGAUACCAUCCCCAGCACUACAU